rnacentral:rRNA from 1 species
AGAGUUUGAUCCUAGCUCAGGGUGAACGCUGGCGGCGUGGAUAAGGCAUGCAAGUCGAACGAGCCCUAUCGUGAGUCUGAACGAUAGCGGAUACAAAACCUAAAUCUUAAUUUCGAUAUACAGAAAAAUUCGGACUUAGGAUAGGGCUCGUGGCAAACGAGGUAGUAACACGUAGGAACGUACCCCACAGUCAAGAAUAAUCCGUUGAAAAGCGAACUAAUACUUGAUGGUCCCAACCGUAAUUCUGGUAUUGAAGCGACAUCCUCAUUGUUGGCAGUAGUGAUACUGCCACUUGAGUGGUUGCGUAAGUUUGAGUAUCAGAAUUACGGCUGGGUAAAGUUUUAACGCUGUGGGAGCGGCCUGCGGGAUAUCAGCUAGUUGGUAGGGUAAAAGCCUACCAAGGCUAUGACGUCUAGGGGAGGUGAGAGCCUGACCCCCACCGAUGGAACUGCGACACGGUCCAUACUCCUACGGGAGGCCGCAGUCGAGAAUCUUCCGCAAUGGGCGAAAGCCUGACGGAGCGACGCCGCGUGACCGAUGAAGCUCUUCGGAGCGUAAAGGUCUUUUAUCGGGGAAGAAGUUUAUUGACUGUACCCGAAGAAUAAGGGGCUCCUAAUCACGUGCCAGCAGGAGCGGUAAUACGUGAGCCCCAAGCGUUACCCGGAAUCACUGGGCGUAAAGGGUGUGUAGGCGGCUGUAUUAGUCUUUUGUGAAAGCCUUCCGCUCAACGGGAGAAACGCAGAGGAAACGGUACAGCUAGAGGAUGCGAGGGGUCAAGGGAACUCAUGGUGUAGGGGUGAAAUCCGUUGAUAUCAUGGGGAACACCGAAAGCGAAGGCACUUGACUGGCGCACUCCUGACGCUGAGACACGAAAGCGUGGGUAGCGAAUGGGAUUAGAUACCCCAGUAGUCCACGCCCUAAACGCUGUCCGCUGGCUCUUCGGAGUAUCGACCCUCUGAGGGGCGAAGCUAACGCGUUAAGCGGACCGCCUGGGUAGUACGAGCGCAAGCUUAAAACUCAAAGGAAUAGACGGGGGCUUGCACAAGCGGUGGAUCAUGUGGCUUAAUUCGUCGCUAAACGAAGAACCUUACCAAGACUAGAAACCAUGCUGAACUCACACCGAAAGGAGUGGGGCCUUCGGGCAGUAUGGCAGGUGAUGCAUGGCCGUCGUCAGUUCGUGGUUUGAACUGUUCCCUUAAGUGGGGUAACGAACGCAACCCUUAUUGCCAGUUACAAGUGUCUGGCGAGACUGCUCCCUCACGGGAGAGGAAGGUGGGGAUGACGCCAGGUCAGCAUGUCCCUUGAUGUCUUGGGCUGCACACGUGAUACAAUGGCCGUUACAACGGGAUGCGACGGGGCAACCCUGAGCCAAUCCUUAUAAAGGCGGCCCUAGUUCGGAUUGCGGUCUGAAACUCGACCGCAUGAAGUCGGAAUCGCUAGUAAUGGCGGGUCAGCUAUACCGCCGUGAAUACGUUCUCAAGCCUUGUACUCAAAAUUAAAUGCGCCGGGCAGCAAUAAUCGCGAGGAGGUUAAAAUCCUUCUAGCGCGCAAGCUCUAUAGCCGAAGGACAGGUCGCGAGGA